rnacentral:rRNA from 1 species
GAACUCCUACGGGAGGCAGCAGUGGGGAAUAUUGGACAAUGGGGGCAACCCUGAUCCAGCCAUGCCGCGUGUGUGAAGAAGGCCCUCGGGUUGUAAAGCACUUUCAGCGAGGAAGAACGCCUAGCGGUUAAUACCCGCUAGGAAAGACAUCACUCGCAGAAGAAGCACCGGCUAACUCCGUGCCAGCAGCCGCGGUAAUACGGAGGGUGCAAGCGUUAAUCGGAAUUACUGGGCGUAAAGCGCGCGUAGGUGGCUUGAUAAGCCGGUUGUGAAAGCCCCGGGCUCAACCUGGGAACGGCAUCCGGAACUGUCAAGCUAGAGUGCAGGAGAGGAAGGUAGAAUUCCCGGUGUAGCGGUGAAAUGCGUAGAGAUCGGGAGGAAUACCAGUGGCGAAGGCGGCCUUCUGGACUGACACUGACACUGAGGUGCGAAAGCGUGGGUAGCAAACAGGAUUAGAUACCCUGGUAGUCCACGCCGUAAACGAUGUCGACCAGCCGUUGGGUGCCUAGCGCACUUUGUGGCGAAGUUAACGCGAUAAGUCGACCGCCUGGGGAGUACGGCCGCAAGGUUAAAACUCAAAUGAAUUGACGGGGGCCCGCACAAGCGGUGGAGCAUGUGGUUUAAUUAGAUGCAACGCGAAGAACCUUACCUACUCUUGACAUCCUGCGAAUUCGGUAGAGAUACCUUAGUGCCUUCGGGAACGCAGAGACAGGU